rnacentral:rRNA from 1 species
UCGCCUGUUUAUCAAAAACAUUUUAAUAAAAUAUUAUAUUACCUGCUCAAUGAUAAAUUUAAAUAGCCGCGUUAGUGCUAAGGUAGCAAAAUAAUUAGUUUUUUAAUUGAAAAAUAGAAUGAAUGGUUUAAUAAAGUUAAAAUAAUUUUAUAAAAUCUUAUGAAAUUAAAAAUUAAGUGAAAAUUCUUAAUAAAAUUUUUUAGACGAGAAGACCCUAUGAAACUAAAAAUUAUUUUUAUAAUUAUAAUUAAUAAUAUAUUUAUUUUUUGGGGAAAAAAUUAAUAUUUUUAUUUUAAAAUUCUAAUUAAAAUAAAUUGAUCCUUUAGGAAUAAUGAACUAGUUCCUCUAGGGAUAACAGCAUAAUA